CCUCUCCCGUCCCGUCCCUCCCCUGGCCUUGUCGUGGUGUGUGAGGUACCAGCCUGCAACGAGUUCUCAGCAAUUCUGAUCCAAGGAUACAUCACUUCUGCAAACAAAAUAGUUUUUAGGGUGGUGCAGAAUUUUAUACUGGAAACAACUGUUGCAUUCAUUUGUUCACAUGAACAAGUGUGACCUGCAAAUGGAGCUACCUUUGUAUCAAGAGGAACUGGAAGUACACAGUCACAAAAUCUCUGUCUGCUGCUGUGGAGAGCUGCUGCCAGUUUAGACCCUUGGGCUGAAGUCGUCUAGAGCUGGACUGGGCCCUCUCUGUUGUUGACUCUCAAGAAGGAAAUGCACCAGCAUGGAGAGAAGUAUUUCUCAGCAUUAUUUACUUUUUGGUUAUCCUGCUGCUGCUGUGACUGCUGAUACUGACCUGCUCUGACCUGUGGUUUAGAACAACCUCUAAUGAUUUGGUUCUCCUUUCUUGAAGGCAGAGGACUAUUCAUCAGCACUCUGCAUCUCAUUGCUCUUUUCAUUGUGCUCAAGCGUGUCUGGAGAGGGACUGAGGUGCCCUUGGCUCCACUGGAAACAUUAUGUCAUCUUCUCAACAAGAUGUUGUAAUGCCAGGAAAGGAUCAAUACUUUGAUGAGGAGCUGCUGGCUCAAAACCACUUUAUUAUUUGAUAAAGGACCGCUUGGAACAUUUUCCAAAGCAUUUCCCAUGGUAUGAAGCUCUAGGGAGUGUAUUUGUCUCUCUGCCUAGGAAACUGAGUUGAUUCAUCUGUAAAUAUGUGUCUGCCAACCUCAGAUAACAAGAAAAAUUGCACCUUCUGCCCACGUUAGGCUUCAGCCUUUCAGCCAUUUCAAUAAUAUACUGUCCGUGAAGGAAGUGCUUCACAUACCAACAAUCAAUUCAGUGGGGAAGGGAGGAAAAGGUUUUAGCCUUUUUCCUGCUGCCGACACCAGACAAGUCUAGCAUUUAGUCCGUAUGACCGCACAGCCCUGGGAGUGCUGCAUUGUGUGGGGUGCAAGGGCUGGCAGCCCCACAGGAGCUUGACUGCGAAAGUGUUUUGUGCUGCAGUCCUUGCAUCCGCCCCCAGCCAGCUUCCCUGCCAGGUUGCAGUGCCAGUGCUGUCAACCGUGUCUGCCUCAGGAUCUCCAGCUGAGACAAACCAGGACAGCCGCAUGCCUCUGGGUCAAUGUGUUGUGAAAGGCAGGACAGCUAGAGCUAAAGGGCUCUCCAUUGAAACAAGCUCAGUUGUCCGCUGAGAAACUAGUCUUGGAAGAGAUUAGAGUUGUUCAGGGUGCUAAACCGACAUCACUUUGGAUAAGACCACUAAUAUACAAUGAUCAAGGAUUAUGCAGUGCAUGAGUGAAAUGGAUUUUAAAAAGAAAGCGCUGGCCAAGCCAUUUAGACUUCUUGUAUUCUCUUCAUGCAGUCAGGGAUGGCUUUAGCAGACAGGCUGCAUGGAAGUCCUGUAGCUCUGUAUGAACAGCCCGUCAUCUGAGGGGAAAACACUACCUUGCUACGUAUUGCAGCUUCAUUUCACUCUCCUGUUGGCUCAUUUAAUCCUCCUGUUGGCU